UGGUUUUCUCUUUCUCUCUCCCGAAGGAUGAGUUUGACGAUUGAGUCCAUUCCAUCUCUUCCUCGGUUGAUCUCUCCUCGAUACGGUUGCUGGAAGGUCCGUCGGAAGCUCCGAGGGUGAGGAUCGACGAGAUUCUUCUAAGUUUGGUUUGGAAUCCGUGAUCCGCCCGUCGAUUCGAUGCCUGAUAGGGCUAAGAAACCUAAUUGUUGUUGACGGUUGGAUUCAUUCUAUGCGGUUGAUACUGAUUGUUGUUCAUUAUUCUGAUCUUGGAUGGCUAUUUGAUUGACUUACUGAGUUCUUUGUUGUUCACUGGACUUAUUGAUGAUGGUUGGUUAGGUUACUCUAUGAUCUCUCUGAAAUUGAUAUACAUUGUGAUCAUUAUUGUACCAAUGCAGGAAUCUUUGUUAUACGGCAGACACCAAGAGAGUCUCGGAAAUUGAUAUACACUGUGAUCAUUAUUGUACCACUGCAGUGAUGAGCCUUGGAACAGCCGCGACGGAAGAAGAUGGAGCACUUGUUGCUUAGUUGUUUGGCUCUGUGAGGAAGAUGUUCAAAGCUGAUGAGAAAAUGUUUGAUGCUGUCACUGGUCUCAGUGGAAGUGGACCAGCGUACAUAUUCCUAGCCAUUGAAGAUUAAGCUGAUGGAGGAGUAGCUGCUGGUUUACCCCGAGAACUUGCACUCGGUUUAGCUUAACAGAUGGUGCAGAUUAUCCUGUCAUACAGCUUUUGAUUCCUAUGAUUGGAUGAUUCACAAUGCAGAUCCGUUGUUUCAUCGUCAUGUUGCCGGUAACGCUUUGUUUUCUUCGUUCUUGUUCUAGUUUUCUCAUGGAUCCCCUUCUUUCAUCUCAUAUAUUCAUAUUUUGGUGAUUGAUUUAGCAGAAGUUAAAAGAACAAGCAUACAACAAUGUUUAAUUUUUUUUUAAGAACCUUUAACUAAGAAACUAGCAUUGUAGGACAAAUUUUAGGGGUUUCUUAACAAAAGUUCUUAAGAUUAUAUUUAUUACUAAAAAAAUAUUAAGAACCCCAUUAGGAGUUUUAGGGAUAAUCAUGCUCUUAGGGGAUGAGCCACUGUUGACAUUAGAUGUGUUAUAAAACUUUAAAUUUAUUACAUAUUGAUUUGUUUGUUUAGUGAAGAGGUUUAUUAUGGGUUGAUGUUAUGCUUGCUCCGCACA